rnacentral:rRNA from 1 species
GAUGAACGCUGGCGGCGUGCCUAAUACAUGCAAGCCGAGCGAACAGACGAGGAGCUUGCUCCUCUGACGUUAGCGGCGGACGGGUGAGUAACACGUGGUUAACCUACCUAUAAGACUGGGAUAACUUCGGGAAACCGGAGCUAAUACCGGAUAAUAUAUUGAACCGCAUGGUUCAAUAGUGAAAGACGGUUUUGCUGUCACUUAUAGAUGGAUCCGCGCCGCAUUAGCUAGUUGGUAAGGUAACGGCUUACCAAGGCAACGAUGCGUAGCCGACCUGAGAGGGUGAUCGGCCACACUGGAACUGAGACACGGUCCAGACUCCUACGGGAGGCAGCAGUAGGGAAUCUUCCGCAAUGGGCGAAAGCCUGACGGAGCAACGCCGCGUGAGUGAUGAAGGUCUUCGGAUCGUAAAACUCUGUUAUUAGGGAAGAACAAAUGUGUAAGUAACUAUGCACGUCUUGACGGUACCUAAUCAGAAAGCCACGGCUAACUACGUG